rnacentral:rRNA from 1 species
GACGAACGCUGGCGGCGUGCCUAAUACAUGCAAGUUGAGCGAUGAAGAUUGGUGCUUGCACCAAUUCGAAGAGCAGCGAACGGGUGAGUAACGCGUGGGGAAUCUGCCUUUGAGCGGGGGACAACAUUUGGAAACGAAUGCUAAUACCGCAUAAUAACUUUAAACAUAAGUUUUAAGUUUGAAAGAUGCAAUUGCAUCACUCAAAGAUGAUCCCGCGUUGUAUUAGCUAGUUGGUGAGGUAAAGGCUCACCAAGGCGAUGAUACAUAGCCGACCUGAGAGGGUGAUCGGCCACAUUGGACCGAGAACCCGCCCCAAACUCCUCCGGGAGGCACAAGUAGGGAAUCUUCGGCAAUGGAGGAAAGUUUACCGGGGCAAGCCGGCGUGGUUGAAAAAGGUUUCGGAUCGUAAAACUCUGUUGGUAGAGAAGAACGUUGGUGAGAGUGGAAAGCUCAUCAAGUGACGGUAACUACCCAGAAAGGGACGGCUAACUACGUG